rnacentral:rRNA from 1 species
UACGAAGGGUGCUAGCGUUGUUCGGAAUUAUUGGGCGUAAAGGGUGUGUAGGUGGUUUGGUAAGUUAGCUGUGAAAUCCUGGGGCUCAACCUCAGAAUUGCGGUUAAAACUACUGAACUAGAGUAAGAUAAGCGAUGGCAGAAUUUCUAGUGUAGGGGUAAAAUCCGCAGAUAUUAGAAGGAAUACCGGUGGUGUAGACGGCUAUCUUGGUCUUUACUGACACUGAGACACGAAAGUGUGGGGAGCAAAC